rnacentral:lncRNA from 1 species
CUCAGCCCAGGGCCUGACACACAGGUGGGUCCAGGCUCUUGCUCAUUAACUGCUGAGUAAACUAAGGAGAUGUGGAGCCUGUGUUGAACCUGAGCACCCUGGGAUCGCUCAGCAACAAAGGAGCCAGAAAAGGCAAGGUGUACACACCGUGUGCAGCAUGGGCGAGCUGCAGGCAUGCAGGUCACUAUCCUUAAUCCCUCUCCCUGUGGGGUCUUCCCUAUCUUGAGCCUGUGGACAGCUGUGCAGUGGCAAGAAAAAGGCCUUCAGAGCUACGCAGACCUGGCUUCAAAUCCCAGCCUCCCUGAUGAGCCCUGGUGGUCUUGCAUGCUUGCCCUUGGGACUCAGACACCAUAUUGUGAGGAAGCCCAAGCUACAUGCAGAGGCCACUAUAGUUGUUCUGGCCAACAGCCCAAGCUUCAGCUGCCAGACAUAUAAAUAAACCAACUCUUCAAAUGAUUUCAGUUUCCAGACUUCAGUGCAUCCCAGGAAUGCCUUCUUCAUCUGUUGAAAUCCAGCCCAUCUAUGAAGAGUCAAAGGCCGCCUUGGCCGUGAAGGCCUCUGGUGCUGUGGGCCCAUGCCAGGGCCCAGGCCCAGGGGUUCUGCAGAGACCACCAGGAUCCCAGCAGGACAAUAGGAAAUCUCAGCAGAGGCAUUCCAGAACACGGAAAAGCCAGUUCCUGAUGAAUCCAGAGGAUGUUCAAAGCUCACCAGGCCAAUGAACCCCGACGGAUUCCCCAGUGGGCCCUCUCUCCUUUCCGUAGAUCUUCUAGGAGUUUUACCAUUUAAAGAGAACUGCAGGAGGCCAUCUUAACCAGACUGUAUGUUUCAUUAAACCAAGAAUGGUAUUUAUUCUAGCAGUAUUCUAGGCACUGGGAUACAACAAAGAGCACAAAUUGAGAGGUGACAGCGUGCUGGCAGUCCUCACAGCCCUCGCUCGCUCUCGGCGCCUCCUCUGCCUGGGCUCCCACUUUGGCGGCACUUGAGGAGCCCUUUGGCCCGCCGCUGCACUGUGGGAGCCCCUUUAUGGGCUGGCCAAGGCUGGAGCCCACUCCCUCAGCUUGCAGGGAGGUGUGGAGGGAGAGGUGCGAGCGGGAACCAGGGCUGCGUGCGGCGCUUGCGGGCCAGCUGGAGUUCCGGGUGGGCGUGGGCUUGGCAGGCCCGGCACUCGGAGUAGCCGGCCAGCCCUGCUGGCCCCGGGCAAUGAGGGACUUAGCACCCGGGCCAGUGGCUGCGGAGGGUGUACUGGGUCCCCCAGCAGUGCCAGCCCACCGGUGCUGCACUCGAUUUCUCACCGAGCCUUAGUUGCCUUCCUGCGGGGCAGGGCUCGGGACCUGCAGCCUGCCAUGCCUGAGCCUCCCACCCACUCCAUGGGCUCCUGUGCAGCCCGAGCCUCCCCAACGAGCAUCACUCCCUGCUCCACGGCGCCCAGUCCCAUCGACCACCCAAGGGCUGAGGAAUGCGAGCACACAGCACGUGACUGGCAG